AAACAUGGCCGCAUUUAGCAGUGCGGAAAGAUUCCCACACUUGGCCAAGUUCAAAUUUGAUCGAUUGUCUUGAAUACUAGUUUAUGUAAAUUAUUAAUACGUAUUGGCAUGGUUUCUUGUGAAAUUUGGAUAAACAUGCACUCGUGAGUUUUUCAAAGACCUCAAAUGGCACUCGUCCUUCGGACUCACUCGUGCAUGUUAUAUCUAAAUUGCACUCAAAACCAUAGUAUUACCUAUACUGUUAACUAGCAAUUUUUAACGCAGCUACAGUACGUGUUUUCAGAGUAUACGAAUAACAUGAAAACUGAAAAUGACAUGUGUAAAAUAAAAUUCAUAGAAAGUCAACGUUACAAUUAUACGUUCAUAUUAAAUAGAGGUC
rnacentral:lncRNA from 1 species